rnacentral:lncRNA from 1 species
UUUGGUCCAACCAAUUCAAUCAGAUUGAUUCACUGAUUCAACUAGACCGAUUAUCAACUCAACUAUUGACCCAGUUGAAUCAAACUGAGUCACAUUAGGACGAUUACAUGACUGAUGCAAUAAUCAAUUUGACUUGAUCAGACAUCUAGCUUGCUAUUGCGGGUAUAUUUGGGUUUGGGUUUUAAAACAUGGCACUUAAGUUGCUAUCACUUCCCUGCUUCCACUUACAAAAAUAGGGUCUCUCUUUGUGCACCCAACAAAAUUGUUGGUGCAUCAAACAUUUUAAGUAAAGUGGCAAAAAUGUCACUCCCUUAAAAUUUUAAAAAGUUGUCCCUCUCCCUCUCCCUUCCCUCAUGUGUUCCUGCUACUGUUCCUCUUCUUCUUCUUCUUCUUCUUUAUUUCUGCGUCGUGUCACCUUUCGUGCCUCCGUCUGCAUUGUGCCGCCAGUGAAUGCCCUUGCCGUCGACACCGACUUCGCCAUCGUCUCCGCCGUAAGUCUUUCGUCUUCGCCCCUCUUCUUCUUUUGCAUUUAGCACUGGUCUAAACAAAUUGAAAAUCCGUAUGGACUAUACGGAUUGCUGAAAAUUUGUAUAAUUCAUAUGGAUUGUCUUUUUACGAAUUGAUAAUCCGUAGGUUAUAUAUAAUUUAUGGAUUGAUAAUCUGUAAAUUUUAUAUAAGUUACGGAUUAUUAAUAUGUAAGUUUUAUACGAAAAAAAACUAGAUCGAAGUUGCAGUACCUUACUUCCGCCGUUAACAACCACACCAAUCACCACCACAACCAUCACUUGCCGACGAACCACCGUAACCAAUGCACCUCAACCAAAGCGGACACAACAACGAAAGACCACCUCUAACAAGAAUGCAUGAAUGCAAAGAAGAAAGCAACUGAAUGAAAGGUGAGUGAAAAAUGCAAAAGGAAGAGGAAGUUACCAGGGGGGAUUUUUGAAAUUUCAAAAAAUUGAUGGGUGCACAAGAAUAAUACUGCAUGGUGCACAAAGUAAAAUCCAUGAAAAUAUUGUAAUGAAACCAAUUUGCGACAACUUAUGAAAUAACCAAAUAUUGAAUGGGAUUAAAGAGUCCAACUCUAGAAGAGAGAUGUAGACAGCAGUUGUGAUGCAGAAAUUUUACUAUAUAGUAGUACUUAGAAAACAAUGCUCUUAACAGCUAAGAAUUGAUUUGUGAUCAAUUAAAUUAGUAUUUGCAAUUCACCGAUUAUCUAUAUAAUUAAUUAUACAAGAUUUAGUAAUUUGUAACAUGUGAGGAAGAGAGAGAGAUUGGCACCAAAGUUUGUUAGGGAAAAUGGACACAUGUUAAUUGAUGCGGAAAUGAGGGAGAUCGGCAAAGCAUGCGAAUUAAGAGAUCGAAUGAGC